CUUCCGAAGAGGAAAUCACAAAUCAGCGACGAAGAACAACGAACGAACCCUAAAUUUCCCAAUCAUGUCGUCGAAUAUAUGAGAUCGAUAUUUGCGCAGAUAAAUCGAAGAUCUGAUUAUCGUUAGCGUUUUGUUUUCUUCUUCUUCUUCUUUCCACUUUUGUGCGAUCGAUCUAUUAAACGAAACUUUACAGUGCCGCAAAUUCUCCCAGUCCCGCCGCAAUUUAUCUUCAUCCGAUAGUAGCAAAGGGUCCAAGGUAGCUAGGUUCUUAAUUCAAGGUACAGGAGGGACUCUCGGAUUGACCUCAGCUUACAUUCUGUAUGGAGGAAAAUUAGAGGAACGUGAGGAGCAGCGACAACAGGUUGUGAGGGAAGUUUUUGGGGGUCUUGCGAAAGUUGAGGAUCUAAGAGAAAAAAUGUGGCCUGAAUUCAGGAAGAUAAGGAAAAUGACAUGGUUUAUAAAUAUGGAAAAGAUAUGGUCUGAGUCUGAUUAAGGAAGAAUAUGGAAUGUGUGCAGUAACAGCCUUACAAAUAAUUACAGAGUUUUAUCAACUAGUUUCAUAAUUCUUGCAGUAAAUAAAUUACAGAGUACAAAUAUACUGUAUGUGAUAAUAUAAAUUUCUCAAGUUUUGGGAGUUGUUCUAAGUAAAAUAUUAAAUGAAUAUUAC